rnacentral:rRNA from 1 species
GCUUAUCACCAUUCCAGAUUGAAUAUACCCGAUCUCGUCUGAUUUUGGAAGUCAAGCAAUCUCGGGCUUGGUUAGUACUUGGAUGGGUGACCGCUUGGGAAUACCAAGUGUGAUAAGCA